rnacentral:lncRNA from 1 species
UAAUAAAUAGACUAAAAGAAUUAUCCCACAUCAUGUACAACUAAAGAUUCCAAUGACUUCCGUUUCCAUCACAAACCAAAACAAAGAAACCAAAAGCCUAACAUUACAUCAUAUAUUGGUUGUUCUAAAUUACAUCCUUGACCAUGGUUAACAAUUUGGAGAGGGAAGGGAAAAGACAAGAAUGCCCCACAAAAUAAAAACUUCUCAAUUCAUUAUGCAGGAAUGUGAAAGUGCACAACUCUUUCCAUAUCAUCUUUAAAAUUUUGAUAAUGAAAAGCAUCAUGGAUGCAAAGGUAGUGCCUUUCCCUUUCAAUGAUUAACCUAAUCAACUUAGGGUAAUAUUGACAUCAUCACCAAGUGUGAAAAAAUCGAAGAAUACUUCAAGAUGAUAUCGGUUCGUAAGGGUAUGAUAACCAGGGGUGCUUUAGAGCUUCAGAUGCAGAAGGUCGCUUCUUCGGGUUAACCUCGAGCAAAUGAGAAACGAAGUCAAUGAAGCCUUGGUCCCCCAUCGGUAAUCUAUGCCUCAGAUGUCUUCUUUAGAAUCAGGUAUUCUAAUAUGUUGCUUUCCUGCAUAUCAAUACCCAAUACCUCACUGAAUAAUUUUUCCAUGAUAAUUAAAGAUACAAUGCAUGUUUUAUAUGAGCAUGUUUGGAUUGGGUUAUUUGAGCCUAUUAUCAACUCGCAUAAGUACUUGUGAGACUAUUUGAGAGAAUUUAUGGAAACAACUUAUGACAUGUUCAUAAGCUAUUUUCAAGUAAUUUCCGUAAACUCUCUAGGAUUGCAAAUGAAAUCAGCUUACAGCUUAUAUGAAAAUAAUUUGACUUUAUUUUAUCUUCUAUUAUAGAAAAUAACAUAUAUAAACACUUAUAUGAGAAGUGUCUAUGUUGUAAGCUUAAUUAAGUUGUUUAUCCAAACAUGAUACAAGCGAAUGAAAAUAAUCAAUUUUAGAAAUUUUAGGGAGCUAUCUCUUGAUUUGCUUUUUGAAGGCGAUGCAAAUGAAAAGAUAUCGAAAAUUUUAAAAUUGUUCGAUGAUGCAUUUCAUAUGCAAAUACAUUUUAGAAAUGAAUUUCUUACCUGAUUCCUCUCAUAAAGCAUAUGAUUUUUUGUGAAGUACUUAUAAGUAUCUCGUCCUUUUGCUAGCAUACUUUGACCAAUUGGACCGAUGAUCCCAAUUACCCUAGCUAGUAAUGUGGCCGAGGAAUCGUUUUGGAAUAAGACCUACAAUAAGCAUAGUUGAGUUCAUUAAGAAUCAAGAUUCAUGAGUGUAUUCACUAAAAUGGAUACAGAUUUGACAUCCGCUUUCACCCAAAAAUGUAAAAAAUCCUACAACUGCAAGAACACGUAACUUAAAAGAAAUUCACAGUACCUAAUAUGUCACAAAUCAUUUUCACGUCUAAAGAUACAGGGCGACUUGUUCUGUUCUAUUCUCUAUGUAGUUCCACUAAGACAACAGAAACUCACUAGCAUUGUCAAUCGUAGAUUGCAAAAAAUAUUGGUUUGUUCCGAUUCUGCUACACAGUAGUUCAAUAGUGCCACUAGAGCAACUAUUUGACAAUAUUUUGUACUAUAUAAUGCGUAAUACAGAAUAAUAAUGAUUUGUUCAAAUUCUGCUACGUUAUAGCCGCUAUUUAACAACACCCAAAUCAUUUUCAAAUUUAAAAUAUACUUCAUCAGUUUAUUUCAGGUACUGUUUGGAACACGAAUAGAAUUAAAUGGGACGGCUUAUUUAUUCUUCAACAAUUUUUCUGUUCUAUUUUUUAUUUGCUUCGAAAACGUAGAAUAUAAAUUAUUCUAUCCUAUUCUAAACUGACUACCUAAAACUUCCUUAAGACUAAUAGUGAUACAAUACAACAUAACAGAGCAAAUACGACUUACACAAAUUGGCAUCUAAACAAUGCCAUCACCGGGGGAAAAACACGAAUCAAGGAUCAUGCAGUAAAUUUUUCUGUUCUAUUUUUUAUUUGUGAAGAUUGCUUCAGAAACAGCAGAAAAUAGAUAAGACUUUGCCUUUGAUUUUCGCUGCUUUCUCUCCUUAUGAUUUUUGAUUUGUGCAAUUGUUGGAUUGUCUGGUAAUGGCUCAAUCUCAUAAUCAUCCUCAACAGCCUCCCAAAGAUCAUGAGGGUCAAGAUAAGCCUCCAUUUUGGUUGCCCAAAGGUGAUAGUUCUCACCCUCAAAGAUUGGCAAUUUUAUGGCUGAGUUAUCGGAGUGCAUUUUCAACUCUUUGGUAAGUGUUUGGGUGUUUAGUGGAACUCUCAACCUCACCAGGUCCCUCAAGAACAAGAGUGCUCUUGAUACCACUGUUGGAAUUUAGAAAAGAAAUUAAGCAGAUUUAUGAGUUCUGAAAACUGAAACACACAAAUUUCAUUCCUUCUAACAACCUUUAAAUACAAGAAAUUCAUAAUCAGAAAUAAACAAAAGAAAAACUGCCUAUAAAUUUGUAACAGACAACAUAAAUCUAUAACCUCCCAUAAUUCCUAUAAUUAAAAUCAUAACAGUCAUAACCAUAAAUACUACAACAAACUCUAAUAAUAGGUUCUGAUCCAUAUUCUCAACAGAAACUCCCACUUCCACCAAUCUUUGCUUUUUAAGAUAAGGAUCUGUGAAUACCACAUUCUCCUCCUCCGUGUUGCUUUUCUCAUUCCACACGUGGAUUCCCAUUUGUGCAUAAACACUAUUCUCGUGAUCCUUCGACCUAAACUCCACAUGGAUCCAUUCACUUUUCAAAAGUCCUUUGUCCAUAUUAUACAUGUGUUGUCCUUUACAGAGUUCUUCCAAUUUCAUAUCAAACAAAGUUAUAUGGUCCGGGAACAAACGUUGAGAGCGAUAACAACCUAUCUCAAUUUCAUAUCCAUUCACAUAUAAACUGAAAUUUGAGGCCCAACGGCGUUCCGGAAGAAUAAAAAUACAAGAUAUAGAAGGGAUUUCUUUAUGAAACCAAAAAGAAAUUGUGUCUCCCCUGCUUUGGUGCUCAAACCAAUCUGGUAUCCCCAGCUCUGUUCCGUUUGGGAAAUCAAAACGAGUGCAUCGAGCCUCAUGUAGUUGCUGUUAGUAUGUAUGAAAUACAAAUAUAUAUAUUACACACUGUCAAAUAUAAAUAUAUAUGAAAUACAAUAAAAGAUGUCAAAUACUAUAGUGCAAUAAAAAACAACAACAAACCUGACUCAUUAACAUUCUUCUACAUGAUGAACUCAAUGAUUUGCAUUCAUAAGCAUAGAGACUUCCAAGAUUUGGUGGAAUCCCUCUAAUUUCCUCAAGGGACUUGCAGUACCUCACAAUAAUUUCCACAAGAUGGUGACUUUCACUAAGGCACUCUGGAAGAAUUUUGAAAUCGCUAUAUGAUAAAUCUAGAUAUGUCAUAUUAACACACCACUUGAGAAGUAUUGGGAGACAUUCAUCUGAGAGGUAGCAAUCGAAGAGAGAAAGCUUUGUCAUAUUUGAAAACACUAUUGAAUACAUCUUAUCAUUAUGUUCUGGGAACCUCAGGAUUCCAUAUGACACUGUGAACUCAUCAAGUUCACUGAGAUUUUGAAAUGAAAAUGGCAGUUUUCCUAUGGAAAUAUAAAAUAUAUCAAUCUCUUUUAUAUGUGCCAUCUUGCAUAAUAAUUCUGGAAAAUUUUCGAGACACGAGCCACCCAUGAGAUUAAGUUCCUUAAGAGAUGCCAAACCUAAAGGUGGAAAAUGUUUGAGCUUUCUGUAACCAGUUACACUUAACCUUUCAAGUUUACUUAGGUGUCCAAUCGAAUUGUGAAUUGUAAUUAAAUUCUUACAAUGUUCAAACGAUAACUUUUCUAAAUUUGAAAGGCUUGAGACAUCGGGUAUAUGUGUUAAAUAUUCACAAUCGUCCAAUGUCAAGAUUUUCAUAUUCUGGAACUUCUGCAUAAACACAAGAAAGAAACAAUAAAUAAACUAAAAAUCAAAGACUAAUAUUACUUUCAUACUGAUUUCUUUUGUUGACGGAAACAAAAUAACUGAAGUUAUUUCACUUGCCUUGUUUAAAAUACUAGUUGACAGACACUUCGAUAAACAUCCCUUCCAUUUCAAUACACUCAAACUUCUUGGUAGAUGCUUGAGACCUUCAGAAAAAUGGCCAUUUUCAAUGAUAACUGUUUUGAGUUUUGUCAUCUUCUUGAAGGCCUUUCCUUUCUUGUCUAUCACGGAUUCCAUGGAGUGGAGAUUCAUAUAUAUCAUUUCAAUUUUACUAGUUCCCUUUUAACAAAGAUAAAAACAUGAAUCAACCACAAUAAAAAUAAGAUAUAGAAAUAUUAACAUGUAAUUGAGUGAAAAGAAAUGCUAGUAUCAGAUGAUCAUAUUUAGUGCAAAUAGAGCAAAGUCGUAUUAAAACUAAAUAACAAAAUGAUCAUAGAUAUCAAUCUUACUCACAGUGUUUUCUCUUAAAACCCGAGUUAUAUCAUCCUGACAGCAUAACCUACUUCUUUCUCCAGGCUCUUUAGUUGAUUCUUGUCGGACGACUUCUUUACCCAUGUCCUCUAUCAAGUCAUGUAAUGUCACACAACCAUAUUCCCUAUAUUGGUUUAUGAGAGAUUUUUCAGCCAACACUGCUAGAUGAUGUGUUAUGGAAUGGCCAUAAUGAGCAUGAAGCAUAUAUUUGGCAUCUUCCCAUCCAUGUCCUUUGAAGCAACAAGCAAUGUCCAGAAAGACACUUUGCUCCUCUUCUUCCAAAGCAUCAUAGCUCACUCUAAGUAUCUUUUGGAUCUCUUUAUUGGGAAUCCUGUCAUACCCAUCUAAUAUAUACUUCCAUUCUUCUAUGUUCUUUCCAAACAAGUUAGAACCCACUAUUUCUAUAACUAACGGAAGGCCAGAAAC